UAUUUAUUUCCAAGAGAACAUCAUAAAUCACCAGGUGUCACUGAGAAAGUGAUGGAGAAUACACAAUUCCAGUUUUGGACAGAAAGAAUCUGUCCAACACUGCAAGAGAUCUUUCAAAGCAUGCAAAGUUUUCUAUGAAUUGAGAAGUGAAGACAAUGGGGUCACAGAAAUUCCAGGGCAUCAGAAAUCCAGUGCCAGAGCAGUAGCCCCACAAGAAAUAAAUCCUGUGCUUCUGACUCUUCAAGACAUGGCUCCGAAGCAUCUAGUGCUGGGAGAAAACAUGAAACAUUUGAAAUCCCGUUGACAGCAGACAAGAAGAUAGAGAAAAGAAGGAACCUGUGAAGGAAAGUGAAGAGAAUUGAAACUAAAUAGUCAAUUUGGGGUGAAGUUGCCUCAUGAGGUUUUCAGAGAGCUUUUACACAUAGAAAUAAUAUUUUCAAAUCCAUAUAAGGAUGUUUAGCAAGGAACUAGCUUUCUGCAGUAGAGUACUGAAAGGCCUCAAGUGCAUAGUACUAACCUGCUAGUGUAAUGGUGGUCCAGAUAAGACAGUUACAGUAUCUUUAAAGAGGAAGAGAAAGCAUAGCUAUCAUUUUCCAAGCUUUGGAAAGGUGUAUGAUGAAUCUUCCAUUAAAACCACAAAAACCAAUUUUCACUGCCACCAUAUUGUGAUUGGGAAAAUAACUGCCCAAAUGAGUUUAAGCAAUUAAGAAAAAAUGUUUACAAAGUGGUGUGUCUCUCUUACCUAUUUAAAAAUUAACACUAUCCCAGCCGAAUCCAGGACAUAAAGAAAGACUGGAAAUGAAGAACCUUUCUAAUCAGGUUCUUCAAACAGUUUUUAAAGUCCUGCCUGUUUCUAGACUCUGCUUUAGAUAAUCAUAAUGUGUUACUUAAAACUGAGUUAGUGGAACAAGCAGCAGUCAGACCAGUCCAGCUUAGAUUGCAUGGCAGUGCUGAGGAAGAUGAAGGUGCCUACACAUCUGUUAUCCCUAAUAUCAAAGAUCAAAAGAGUCAAGUGUUGCUCUGCAGCACAGCACAUAAAUUACUUUAUAAGGGAAUUCUCAUGCCUCCUGAUGGAUCUAUGAAAACUAGCAGACGCUAAUAGGCAGUAAAAUAAUUUCUCUAGAAGUUCACUUCUGCUGUUUGUUUGCAUACCUCUCUGAGACAGAGGUGAAAUUUGCUAGGAUUUCCCCCUGAAUCCUCCUCCCACAUAUUGAAAACAAUGAAAUUCUACUUGAAUAAGGACAACAGGAGAGGCAAUUUAAAGGGGCCCUAAAGAUUUAGUCUCUUAAUCACAACAGUAACAAAAUGCUGUUAUCCUUGCUGGCAAUUCCCUAGCAAUUUACAGUACACUAGAGUAAACGGAGAAGACCUUGCAUUGCAAAGAAACCUGACUAGAUAACCAGGUUUCUGUUUCUGGAAAUCUUCUGUUUCCCCUCUCACUGCACUGUUACACAAAUCCUAGUGAUCACCAGUUGCUCUGCCAUCCUGAAGCCACUCGAGAGCUACAUUUCGACCCUGACAUUGAAUCUAAAGUUAUUUAGAAACUGAAGUCAGUGCAGACUGUUGGCUUCUGAAUAACCCAUGUAAUGAGGAGGGCAUUUCAGUAGGACUGUGUGAAUGCACACCAGCAGCCCCAUUAGGCUGCAAUAGCAACCUAAGACUUUUUACUAUGGGGGCAACCUAAAAUCGCUCUGGCUGAACUGUAGUUUGGGUUGCUACACAAAAGAGACUUCCUUCCUGCGUAUAAGACAGAAGUUAAAUUGUUGGGCAGGUUUUCCCUCCAAGGCCCUGGAACCCAAGGCUGCCCCAAGUCUAGCAGUGGUUUUAGUGUAUAAGAAAAGGAAUAUAUAAUUAGGAACUUGGGAAAGAGCUGAGGGACUUUAAAGAGAACUUUCCAAAGAAAGAAGACCUAAAAAAAGGGUUAGAUUUUUUCUUUUAUGUCAUUGCUGGGCUGAUUUCCUGCUAAACAAUUGCUCAAAUAUAAAAAGAUUUUGUUGGACUGUCAAUGGUAGAUUAAAUAGAGUCAAAUAAAGGUGUAUUUUUAUUAUCUGCAUAUAAAUGAAGGUAAUUUAAAAUGUAGGGUAUAAACAGCUAGUGUAAAGGCCAAGAAAAUACCCCAAGGACCAAUCUGGACUUCAAAAGAUUGUGAAGUUUCUAACAACUCGUUAAUUGCUGGUUUAUCAGUAAAUCCCAAACCCAAAUCAGUGUUCCAAAACAAAAACCACAGAAAUGCCAAUCUCUGUUAAAUACCAUAAAGAAAACAAACCUCACAUACUUGUGGAUGAUUUUUGAAUUAUUGUAAUUCUUAUGACUCCCAUAGUCAUAAGAAUAGGUUGUAUUUACUCUCUCUCAAAUCAAUCCCUACUUAGCCAUUACCACUGCUGUUUUCAAACCUUGAAUAUUUGAACCUUAGUGCCCUUUCUAAGAGAUGCUUAAAUAGUUGGAAACUGCUAAAAAAAUUUGGUUUUUAGUCUUUAAUCUUUUAGCCAGGUAAAUCUUUUUAAAAUGACAGUAGCUGUUAAGGCAAGACUCUUAAGACAUCUAUUCCCAUAUUCCUUUAGGGUAAAAGCAUUCUCAAAGAGGAUUAUCUAUUUAUUUUUCCUCUCUCUUCAUGAUCAGUUAAUGGGAAAAGGCAGAAGAAACGUUAAGUGUAAUUAGUUUAUUUUAAAGCAUAUUGCUAAGUCAGCAUAACUUUCCAGAAUACCAUAUUUCUGCUGACAGCCUUUUUUUUUACACAAGAUCUUCAGCCAGUCCUACAUGAAAAGUUCAGCUUUUAGCAACCUGUAAAGAGAAAGUCUUCCAGAGCUAUUAAUUUAUGUAAAAUUAAGAAAGCAAUUUCAAACCAGAUAUGAAAUCAACAAUUGUCUUUCCCUUCCUGAGGUUUCCAUGUGUUUGUUCUCUUGAAGGAUUUUCUCACCAGAACUUGCAGCAACAGGAGUUUUGCUAGUGCUAUGCACGAAGCUCUUCAGCUACAUAUGGAAGGGAAGAUAGUGCUUUUGCAGCCACUUCAGGAUUUCUACUUGGAAGCCUAGUACCAAAACACUGAAGUAAAAAUAAUUAGAAGUAUUUGGGAUUGAAUGUCAAACUUAACUGGGACAUCUCAGAUAUAUCCACUGAAAACCCA